rnacentral:rRNA from 1 species
UGGGGAAUAUUGCGCAAUGGGGGAAACCCUGACGCAGCAACGCCGCGUGAAGGAUGAAGGUCUUCGGAUUGUAAACUUCUUUGAUCGGGGACGAAGAGAUGACGGUACCCGAGGAACAAGCCACGGCUAACUACGUGCCAGCAGCCGCGGUAAUACGUAGGUGGCAAGCGUUAUCCGGAAUUACUGGGUGUAAAGGGCGUGUAGGCGGGACGGCAAGUCAGAUGUGAAAUUCCGGGGCUCAACCCCGGCGCUGCAUCUGAAACUGCUGUUCUUGAGUGUCGGAGAGGAAAGCGGAAUUCCCAGUGUAGCGGUGAAAUGCGUAGAGAUUGGGAGGAACACCAGUGGCGAAGGCGGCUUUCUGGACGAUAACUGACGCUGAGGCGCGAAAGCGUGGGGAGCA